rnacentral:rRNA from 1 species
GCACGUAGUUAGCCGUGGCUUCCUCCUCGAGUACCGUCAUUAUCGUCCUCGAAGACAGGGCUUUACAAUCCGAAGACCUUCAUCACCCACGCGGCGUUGCUGCGUCAGACUUUCGUCCAUUGCGCAAUAUUCC